rnacentral:rRNA from 1 species
UCUAUACUGUGAAACUGCGAAUGGCUCAUUAAAUCAGUUAUCGUUUAUUUGAUAGUACCUUGCUACUUGGAUAACCGUGGUAAUUCUAGAGCUAAUACAUGCUGACAACCCCGACUUCGGGAGGGGUGUAUUUAUUAGAUAAAAAACCAACGCCCUUCGGGGCUUCUUGGUGAUUCAUGAUAACUUAACGAAUCGCAUGGCCUUGCGCCGGCGAUGGUUCAUUCAAAUUUCUGCCCUAUCAACUUUCGAUGGUAGGAUAGUGGCCUACCAUGGUAUCAACGGGUAACGGAGAAUUAGGGUUCAAUUCCGGAGAGGGAGCCUGAGAAACGGCUACCACAUCCAAGGAAGGCAGCAGGCGCGCAAAUUACCCAAUCCCGACUCGGGGAGGUAGUGACAAUAAAUACUGAUACAGGGCUCUUUUGGGUCUUGUAAUUGGAAUGAGUACAAUCUAAAUCCCUUAACGAGGAACAAUUGGAGGGCAAGUCUGGUGCCAGCAGCCGCGGUAAU